rnacentral:rRNA from 1 species
AACGAACGCUGGCGGCAGGCCUGACACAUGCAAGUCGAACGCUCCAGCAAUGGAGCGUGGCAGACGGGUGAGUAACGCGUGGGAAACUCCCCCUUGGUUCGGUAUAGCUCACGGAAACUGGCGGCAAUACCGGAUACGCCCUUCGGGGGAUAGAUUUAUCGCCAAUGGAUGGGCCCGCGUCGGAUUUGCUAGGGGGAGGGUUGACGGCCUACCAAGGCGACGAGCCGUAGCUGGUCUGAGAGGAUGAUCGGCCACACUGGGACUGAGACCCGGCCCAGACUCCUACGGGAGGCAGCAGUGGGUAAUAUUGGACAAUGGGCGCAAGCCUGAUCCAACCAUGCCGCGUGAGUGACGAAGGUCUUCGGAUUGUAAAGCUCUUUUGGCGGGGAAGAUAAUGACGGUACCCGCAGAAUAAGCCCCGGCUAACUUCGUGCCAGCAGCCGCCGUAA